rnacentral:rRNA from 1 species
CCCAGGGUUAGUCGGGACCUAAGCCGAGGCUGAAAAGCGUAGGCGAUGGACAACAGGUGGAAAUUCCUGUACUACCUCCACUCCGUUUGAGCAACGGGGGGACGCAGGAGGGUAGGGUGAGCAGACUGUUGGAUAUGUCUGUCCAAGCAGUGAGGCGUGUGUAUAGGCAAAUCCGUACACUGUAACGCCAGGCUGUGAUGGCGAGCGAAAUUGUAGUAGCGAAGUCCCUGAUCUCACACUUCCAAGAAAAGCCUCUAGCGAGGAGUGAGGUACCCGUACCGCAAACCGACACAGGUAGGCGAGGAGAGAAUCCUAAGGCGCGCGAGAAAACUCUUGCUAAGGAACUCGGCAAAAUGACCCCGUAACUUCGGGAGAAGGGGUGCCCCGGUAGCGUGUCAAAGCGCGAGGGGGCCGCAGUGAAAAGGCCCAAGCGACUGUUUAGCAAAAACACAGGUCUCUGCGAAGCCGCAAGGCGAAGUAUAGGGGCUGACGCCUGCCCGGUGCUGGAAGGUUAAGGGGAAAGGUUAGCACCUUCGGUGCGAGGCUUUGAACCGAAGCCCCAGUAAACGGCGGCCGUAACUAUAACGGUCCUAAGGUAGCGAAAUUCCUUGUCGGGUAAGUUCCGACCCGCACGAAAGGCGUAACGAUUUGGGCACUGUCUCAACGAGAGACUCGGUGAAAUCAUAGUACCUGUGAAGAUGCAGGUUACCCGCGACAGGACGGAAAGAC